UGUGGACACUGACCUAGCUGGUCUCAAAGGCCUCUUUCAAUUUUAACAUUCCCCCAUUCCAUUGACUAACACAGAGAUACUUUUAUUGCAGAAGUGCUUCGGUCAGGCAGUAUCUUUGAAAAUAAUUUGGCCAAUGAAAGCCCUGGCAUUGGAUGAAAGUGCUAGCUGCUGGGAAUGCUACCCCUCCUUUUGGUUCUCUUUCAAGUCCUUCAGGUUCAAACAAUACAGAAGUGUAUAAAGUAAGAAUUGAAAGUCUCUUCGCUGCUCUAAUCUCACUCCUCAGAGGUGAUCACUGUGUGGAAGAUGAUCAAAGUAUGACAUUUCUUCUACCCCAGAGGCUGGCAUUUCUGCAGGCACAAAUGAGCUUGGUUUUCAAGCACUGCUCUUUGAACACAAGGAAUUCCUUUAAUGAUCACGCCGGACUAUAUAGACUUUGGAAUCAGACUCUUUGAAUUCCAGCUCUGCCAUUUACCAACUUUGACACUUUGGACAACGUCUCAUUCUGUCACCCAGGCUGGAGUGCAGUGGCACAAUUAUAGCUCACUGCAGCCUCAAACACCUGGGCUCAAGCAAUCCUUCCACCUCUGCCUCCUGAGUAAUUGGGACUACAGGCAUGUGCCACCACACCCAGCUAAUUUUUAAUUUUUAAUUUUUUUGUAGAGAUGGCGGUCUUGCUAUGUCACCCAGGCUGGUCUUGAACACCUGGCCUCAAGUGAUCCUCCGGCCUUGGUCUCUCAAAGCUCUGGGAUUACAGACAUGAGCCACUGCACCCGGCUCUAUCUCCCCUUCCUAUGUGUGUUAGCUCUAGAACAAGAGAAGCCUUGUUGAGAUUCCUGGCUGCCCACCCCCCAUCACCUCUCUGACUUUGGGCAAGUUGCCUGGCCUCUCUCAGCCUUUAUUUUCUUUUUGUGAAAUGGGGAUAAUAAUAGUACUUGCCUCAUAGGCAAAAUGUUGUGAGAACUAAACGAGAAAAUGCAUGUAAAGCACUUGGCACUUAGUUCUUUUUAUGAUUAUAAUGAUAAUCAGACACAAUAAAUUAUGUCUCACAUCACAUGCUGUUUAGCCUAUUCACUGUUCUAUUUUUCCUGAAGUCAGUUCAGUGUGUAGCAUCCAGAAUUGAACAAAACACCCCCGAUGUGACCUGAUAGUGCAAAGUAAACUAUCAUCUCCUUCAUUCUAGGUAUUAUGUUUCUAUUAAUGCAGUCUAAAGGGUUUUGGAAAUCUGGAUUGUAGCAGGGCAUUUGAGAGAGCAGGCUACUUAUACUCUACUGAUCAGAUUACAAGUAUACUUAGUAAAGACAGAAAUAGUAUAGCCAUAAAAGAGUUUACCUUAAAAUGUCACCUGAUGUUAGUUGUCCCUCACUGAUUCAAGUAAUUUCCUUUAUUGAGGUGGAUCUGCCUGUUGGUGGAGAACCCUAGACUGCAUGCAGCCAUGCACAUGAUCUGGAGACACAGCAGAGACAAGGUCUUUGUCUGUUGCUCAGGAUGGAGUGUAGUGGUGCCAUAGCACACUGUAAUCUUGAAUUUCUGGACUACUGGCAUACACCACCAUGCUUAGGUUCGGGCCACAACAUCCGUGACUUUACCGGUUUUGGUCUCUUCCUUGUAACUUUCGGCUCCAGGAUGCUGCGCAGCUCCUCUCUGCACUAUCUAUCAGAACGUUGCUCUGCGUGCUUGAAAGUUUCGCCAAACAGAAGUACACAAAAACAAACAGAGGCGAAACACAAAUCCCCUCAGCCCUGGAGGAAAAGGCCUUGAAGCUCUUCCAGUGCAGAGGCCACGCAGAGGACAUGCUCCUACCUGUGCACAUCGGCCACGCCUGGGGUGCCUCCUGGAGUCCAGGCUGCUGGCGAUGGAAUCCAUCAUGUUGCUGAUGUCACUACUCUCAACUCCUGAUGGCAUCAGAACACAGGCAGCAUCAAGAUCAGGCUCAAGAUGCAGGAUUUUAUCAUCCAAAUCAGGCCCACAUAUGGAUGAAACCCUUCAGGUAUUCUGCACAUCUCUCAGGAAACCCAGAUGAAAUUGAGUGCCUGCUGCCCACAUCAGCAACCCA
rnacentral:lncRNA from 1 species